rnacentral:rRNA from 1 species
GUGGGGUAACGGCCUACCAAGGCGAUGACGGGUAGCCGGUUUGAGAGGACGACCGGUCACACUGGGACUGAGACACUGCCCAGACUCCUACGGGAGGCUGCAGUCGAGAAUCUUCCGCAAUGGGCGAAAGCCUGACGGAGCGACACCGCGUGCAGGAUGAAGGCCUUCGGGUUGUAAACUGCUGUCACGCUAUAGGAAUGCCAUGUCGUUAAUAGCUGCAUGGUUGACCAAAGCGAGAGGAAGCACCGGCUAACUCCGUGCCAGCAGCCGCGGUAAGACGGAGGGUGCAAACGUUGUUCGGAAUCACUGGGCAUAAAGCGCACGUAGGCGGCUAAGUCAGUCCGUUGUGAAAGCCCUCGGCUCAACCGAGGAACUGCAAUGGAUACUGCUUGGCUAGAGGACGGUUGGGGUGAGUGGAACUCCUGGUGGAGCGGUGAAAUGCGUAGAUAUCAGGAGGAACACCAGCAGCGAAGGCAGUUCUCUGGGCCGGUACCGACGCUGAGGAGCGAAAGCGUGGGGAGCGAACAGGAUUAGAUACCCUGGUAGUCCACGCUGUAAACGUUGGGCACUAGGUGUGGCGGACUCAUCAACGUCCUCCGUACCGUAGCUAACGCAUUAAGUG